rnacentral:rRNA from 1 species
GAUGAACGCUGGCGGCGUGCCUAAUACAUGCAAGUCGAGCGAACAGACGAGGAGCUUGCUCCUCUGACGUUAGCGGCGGACGGGUGAGUAACACGUGGAUAACCUACCUAUAAGACUGGGAUAACUUCGGGAAACCGGAGCUAAUACCGGAUAAUAUAUUGAACCGCAUGGUUCAAUAGUGAAAGACGGUUUUGCUGUCACUUAUAGAUGGAUCCGCGCCGCAUUAGCUAGUUGGUAAGGUAACGGCUUACCAAGGCAACAUGCGUAGCCGACCUGAGAGGGUGAUCGGCCACACUGGAACUGAGACACGGUCCAGACUCCUACGGGAGGCAGCAGUAGGGAAUCUUCCGCAAUGGGCGAAAGCUUGACGGAGCAACGCCGCGUGAGUGAUGAAGGUCUUCGGAUCGUAAAACUCUGUUAUUAGGGAUGAACAAAUGUGUAAGUAACUAUGCACGUCUUGACGGUACCUAAUCAGAAAGCCACGGCUAACUACGUG